rnacentral:rRNA from 1 species
CCAACCUUGAAAUACCACCCUUUAAUGUUUGAUGUUCUAACGUAGGCCCCUUAUCGGGGUUGCGGACAGUGUCUGGUGGGUAGUUUGACUGGGGCGGUCUCCUCCCAAAGAGUAACGGAGGAGCACGAAGGUUAGCUAAUCCUGGUCGGACAUCAGGAGGUUAGUGCAAUGGCAUAAGCUAGCUUGACUGCGAGCGUGACGGCGCGAGCAGGUGCGAAAGCAGGUCAUAGUGAUCCGGUGGUUCUGAAUGGAAGGGCCAUCGCUCAACGGAUAAAAGGUACUCCGGGGAUAACAGGCUGAUACCGCCCAAGAGUUCAUAUCGACGGCGGUGUUUGGCACCUCGAUGUCGGCUCAUCACAUCCUGGGGCUGAAGUAGGUCCCAAGGGUAUGGCUGUUCGCCAUUUAAAGUGGUACGCGAGCUGGGUUUAGAACGUCGUGAGACAGUUCGGUCCCUAUCUGCCGUGGGCGCUGGAGAAUUGAGGGGGGCUGCUCCUAGUACGAGAGGACCGGAGUGGACGCAUCACUGGUGUUCGGGUUGUCAUGCCAAUGGCACUGCCCGGUAGCUAAAUGCGGAAGAGAUAAGUGCUGAAAGCAUCUAAGCACGAAACUUGCCCCG